rnacentral:lncRNA from 1 species
GCACCCUAGAACACCUGCAACAAGCUGACCAAGUUUCUCAACUUUUGUUGUUUACUCAUGGCUGCAAAUACGUUACAAUCAACACAGAGUCACAACCAGCAACAAAUUCUUAGCAAUAUAUACCCGAACCAGCUCAAAUUACAGUCAACAGGAGCUAAAGACGUUGGACACGAAGGAAAGGACAGAAGAAUACUUGAGGCUCAUGAGUCGAC